ACCCUUAGAUGUUCUGGGCCGCACGCGUGCUACACUGGUGAAUACAACGAGUAUUACGACCUUGGCCGAAAGGUCUGGGUAAUCUGAUGAAAGUUCAUCGUGACUGGGAUUGAUCCUUGCAACUAUUGAUCAUGAACGAGGAAUUCCUAGUAAAGGCAAGUCAUCAUCUUGCUUUGAUUACGUCCCUGCCCUUUGUACACACCGCCCGUCGCUACUACCGAUUGAAUGGUUUAAUGAGAUCUUCGGAUUGGCUUCCUUGGUACCCUAACAGGUCCAAGGUUAGUCGAAAAGUUGCUCAAAUUUGAUCAUUUAGAGGAAGUAAAAGUCGUAACA
rnacentral:rRNA from 1 species